rnacentral:rRNA from 1 species
UACAGAGGGGGCAAGCGUUGUUCGGAAUUACUGGGCGUAAAGGGCGCGUAGGCGGCCUUCUAAGUCGAACGUGAAAUCCCCGGGCUCAACCCGGGAACUGCGUCCGAUACUGGAAGGCUUGAAUCCGGGAGAGGGAUGUGGAAUUCCAGGUGUAGCGGUGAAAUGCGUAGAUAUCUGGAGGAACACCGGGUGGCGAAGGCGACAUCCUGGACCGGUAUUGACGCUGAGGCGCGAAAGCCAGGGGAGCAAACGGG